rnacentral:rRNA from 1 species
AUGGGAACGCGAAGAACCUUACCUAGACUUGACAUCUUCUGCAUUAAUCGUAAUGGAUGAAAUCCCUUCGGGGACAGAAUGACAGGUGGUGCAUGGUUGUCGUCAGCUCGUGUCGUGAGAUGUUGGGUUAAGUCCCGCAACGAGCGCAACCCCUAUUAUUAGUUGCUAACAUUAAGUUGAGCACUCUAGUGAGACUGCCCGGGUUAACCGGGAGGAAGGUGGGGAUGACGUCAAAUCAUCAUGCCCCUUAUGUCUAGGGCUACACACGUGCUACAAUGGUGGGAACAAAGAGAUGCAAUACCGCAAGGUGGAGCUAAACUCAAAACCCCAUCCCAGUUCGGAUUGUAGGCUGAAACUCGACUCCAUGAAGUCGGAAUCGCUAGUAAUCGUAGAUCAGAAUGCUACGGUGAAUACGUUCCCGGGUCUUGUACACACCG